AUGAAAUUUGAUAUAAAUUGGGACAAUAACAACCCAAUGCUGGAGUCGCUGUUCUUAUCUUACAGAUAUGGAAAUGGAAGUUCAGAGGAAGUAAAAAUCAUAUGCAAGAUCAGUCAGCUCCAAAGUGGUAGAGAGAAGAUUCAGAUCCAGAUCUGUCUUUCUCCGAAGCUCAACCCUGUCCAGCAUAUAUUAUGUUCAGUGAUGUCUCACAUACAGGAAGCCUUCCACUCCUGCUUAUCCUUUAAGACCUGGCUCAGCUCUUACCUCCUCCAGGAUGUCUUCUUGGACUCCCUGAUCCUCCUCAAUCAGGUGGGAUAAAAUGACCCUGCUCUGCUGCCAUGACACAUGGGCCCAUUUCUACUGCAUGUUACCAUGUUACCUGUGCUCUAGAUUCUGUCUUAUUCAUCUUUGCAUCCUUAAUGUCCAGCACAAUUCCUGGCAUGUUAUUUCUGCCUUCGGAAAUGUUCUCUCAGUGAAGUGGCCAAACGUUUACCAGUUCAAACAAGGCUUGGCUUAGGAACACAAUGGGGAUUGAGGUCACGGAGAUGUGAUUCACUUUUUGCCAUAAAGUGCUUACAUAUUGCACAUGAGAACACAGCGCCUCAUGAUUUUUUAACCUCUUACGUGAUUAUCCCAGCAAAAACCCCUUGGGCUAGAAAGGCCUAUAAUAACCUUGGUAGUUUUGAGCCCUUAAUAUUUUCUUUACAUCGGGCUUAGCCUGUUUGCGUUACAAAAGAGAUGACUGAGUUCAUGUAAGGCAGGAAGAACGGAAGAUGUCCUCGUCCCCAGAAAGUCUUCAAAACUCCUGCCUGGCCUUGAGGGGUUCCCACCAAGUGCACGCCACAUGAGGAGUCAGUACGAUACGGACAUAUUUGUACAUUUUAAAAAAGAUUAAAUGUGAUAUAGUACUGGAACUGAGCAUGGGAGAUUGAGGCCCUGGGUAUUAUGCUUUCCCUUGCUACAGGGGAUGGAAAGAAUAUUGUUUCUCCUUAAAAUGAUUUAUUUAAAUGGGUAGGCUAGAAUUCUACUUAAAACCCAGUGUCUGAAUGCACCUGUUUAAGUCAGCUUCUUGUUCUCCCAGGUAUUUAGGCAUUGAAUUUUCCCCAUUAGGGAAGUGAUUGACACCGUGGUCCUUACAAUAACACAUGAUUAUAACUCUGCAAAUGGCAAUUACAUUCAAUGGAAACCAGAUGUUGCAUGGAAUUUGACUCUCUUGGUUUCUUGGUGAAGUAGAUGAAUUUGUAAAGUAGAAAACCACAAUCAUUACUCAGAUGGACUAUACAUGAAUUAAUGACAUAAUAUCUAAAUCAUAUAUGGUUGAAAAUAAUGAUUAACUUAAACUAUCAAGAUAAGCUAAUGAAAAACAGACUCUUAAAAAAUUAAAGAUAUGUUUUCUUCAAUAUAUAUUUUAUCAGCAUGCUAAUAACAAAACCAGACUUAUUUGCACGUCUCUUCAGCCCCAAGUAAGAAGAAAAUAUUUAAAAAGAAGAGCUUCUCGGUAGUUAACAUUGAGGAGAAAGUGUGCAAUUAUGAUGGUUUUUUUUGGCUGGUGACUUUCUAGAGUGUCUGAAAUCAAUCUUUAAAAAAUAUAUUGUUAUUAAGGACAGCUAGCAGUGUUUUAUGCUGAAUUACACAGAGACAGUAUAUUUUUAAGGACACAUUUGGCAUGCAAAACAUUAGCUUUCUAUGCCUGUGCAAAGCAUCACCUCUCAAAUAAAACUUCUUUUCCUGUCCCA
ensembl:lncRNA